UUACCUAGUCUUUCACACCGUUGUGAACGACAAUAAACCUCGUCGCAUUUGGUGGAGUUUGCUGAGAUCCUUCACCUCGUCCUGGAGCUCCGUACACGAACCCUGCCAACAAAAUCGUCCUGCACUAUGCCCGAUCCCGCCACCUCAUUGCCUGCACCCCCGGCUGCCACUGUCAUCUGCGCCGGCGUCCCUCGUCCAAGCGACCCACCCAUUUUCAGUCGGACCGCCGAACACGACGUGGAAGACUGGCUGUCAUCGUAAGAACGUCUAUCUGCUGCUGUUUCGGCGCCUGUCGUCCUGGCUUUCCUGGGGCUUGUGAAGAUUCCUAAUCAUCGUGCCUGCCUACACCAGCAAGUAUUCUGCUGCUCUGCGCAUGCCCAGACGUACCUACACCAGGCGUGAAGUUGACUGACCUACGACGUCACCAGGAUCUCGACGCCACCUUGGGCCAUAAAAGCGGCGGCCUCACAGUGAAACGAGUCAUUUGGCAGCAGCAGCAGCUGGACGUGAACUCGUCUCUCACGAACGCCGCUUCAAUUUUUUCAGGCUGUCCUGAUAUGGACCGUCUCGACGUUGCCGUUUUGCUUCGCUGGCUUGCUGAUACCUGAUCGACACCGCCCUAUGAAGCCACUCCACCUCCCGCCUCUGAUUCAGGACGUCGCAGAAGCUAGCGCUUUCCCGCUUUUUCCCGCCUGGAAUGAGCCUUUCAUCUGGCAACCGGCUGCAACGGAAUACCUACUUAAUCCACGUCUGCACCGGCUCGACUUGGGGCACGUCACCGCAUCAAACACGGUCAUGCCAACACCGCUCUCUGUGCAGUUGUGCCCCAGGCCGCCAGGCCAACGCUACCCUUGGGGCUUGCGACACAAAUGCAACAACUGUCUGCCAGCGGUGAGAUCGCGAAAACGGAGGCCAGCAGCGAAGAUAUGCGGUUGACUAUGCUGAGCAGCACAACGACCAUCCGGGAGCAGUGCAACGAGUUCUGUGUGAUGACUGGUUGCCUGCAGCGGAACGACUGCGCUGAAUUCUUGGCUGCGAGGUUUGAGCGCAGCUCCUUGGCGCCUGUUCCUGCGCUUCGCGGCGCCGUCAGGCCCCGCACACUCUGAAGUUCCAGCGAUAGCUACAGAGGGCGAAAAAUCCCAGUUCCAGCAUGAAGCGCGCAAGUGGAGCUACUAUAAUUUUGUCGAUACUUUAUAUGGUAUUUUUUUUUUGCUAAGGCCGCUCAACGCGACUAAAUAUUUGAUGUAUGUACAUAUGGUAACCGUGAAACAUAGUUACCGUCUAUUUUUUUUUUUGGGGGGGGGGGAAUAGGCAGACAAUUGUUUUUAUUGGGCUUACGUUAUUAAACCUUGUGCUUUAUUACUUGAAUAAACGUUUUGAGACCUCAUUGACCUGUUAUAAGCAGCGGCCCACUGGUAUCGACUGCAGUUAGUGCCUUUAUCGAUUCAUACCCUGAUGGCAAGGCGAUUUGUUGUUCGUUCCGAGAGAACAUCAUCGGAUGCAUUAUAGGUAUUCUCAGGCUCUUCUCUUCCUGCUGUAAGCUGGAUGCUAUGCUUAUAAGAGUUAAGUGUUCGUUGUGAUCACUAUAUGUGAUCUUGCUAAAGUUUACUGUGAUGUUUGCAUAUUCUUAUUGAAUAAAAUUGUUACAAAGUUUUAA